CCUACGGGGGGCAGCAGUGGGGAAUAUUGGACAAUGGGGGGAACCCUGAUCCAGCCAUGCCGCGUGUGUGAAGAAGGCCCUCGGGUUGUAAAGCACUUUCAGUGAGGAAGAACGCCUGGUGGUUAAUACCCAGCAGGAAAGACAUCACUCACAGAAGAAGCACCGGCUAACUCCGUGCCAGCAGCCGCGGUAAUACGGAGGGUGCGAGCGUUAAUCGGAAUUACUGGGCGUAAAGCGCGCGUAGGUGGCUUGAUAAGCCGGUUGUGAAAGCCCCGGGCUCAACCUGGGAACGGCAUCCGGAACUGUCAAGCUAGAGUGCAGGAGAGGAAGGUAGAAUUCCCGGUGUAGCGGUGAAAUGCGUAGAGAUCGGGAGGAAUACCAGUGGCGAAGGCGGCCUUCUGGACUGACACUGACACUGAGGUGCGAAAGCGUGGGUAGCAAACAGGAUUAGAUACCCGAGUAGUC
rnacentral:rRNA from 1 species